CAAUUUCCAUUCCUCCCACUUUGAGAAGCUUUGCAGGAAUAUUGUCUGUUAUCAAGGCUGUUUUGUUUAUCAGAUUUUUCAGUUACUUGAAAUUCUUCUUUCAACAUGAAUGUACCUAAAAUUGCUGUUGGUCGAUCCAAGGCAUUUUCAAAUGAGAAGAAUAGCCAGAACGUACAUUGUGGAUAUUCAAGACACUGAGUAAGAAAUGGAGCUGAGAAUUUAGUCAGUAUUAGACCUUGUAUUUGAGAAUUUAUACCAAUGACAAUUCAUACCAUCUGCAACAUUGGUGGCAUGACAUCAAGCACAAAAUGGUAGCACAUAUGUUAGUUGAAGGGAAGCCGUAUUCUGUGUGACCAGCUCUAAGACAUCAUCCUACAAAUGUUUGGGUGUUGUGCUGUUGGAUUCUGUCAAAAGUACUUUGUGAGUUGAAGUCUGAUUACACCUAGUAGCCUGAAGCAACGUUUCCUAGAAAGACACCCCAGGCUUUUGUAACAGAUGGUUCAUCUACAUGAUUACUCCGCUGGAAAAACGAACACCUAAACCUUUCUGUUCGAGCUCUGAUUUCUCUUAUUUUAUUUUGAUGAUCAUUCCUACCUGCGUAUGUUGGGCUCAACAAAAUAUUUUCGUUUUCGGAAGAGAAUUUUGGUGACUGAAAUUUCGUAAAUAGAUCUCGCCGCGACGAAAAACGUCUUUGUUUUAAUGACUUCCAUCCCAACUCGCGUAUCAUAUCUGCCACACUCUCUCCCCUAUUACGUGAUAAUACAAAACGAGCUGCCCUUAUUUGCACCCUUUCGAUGUCCUCCGUCAAUCCCACCUGGUAAGGACCCCACACCGCACAGCAAUAUUCUAACAGAGGACGAACGAGUGUACUGUAAGCUGUCCUAGUUGAACAAACUCCAGCACAGCAAGAUGCAGGACUAAUGAUUGUGCGCAAAAUAAUACAGGUUCCAGUUGUAAAAGUCAUUGUUUUCUUAAUUACAUAGAGAAAUCAGGAGGUUGACUUGUUGAAUCAAGUACUACCAUAGUUCCUUCUGGCUUUGUAAUUUUCUAGAUUUCCAUUUUGAAUGACUUCCAGGGUAAAUAACUGCAGAAUUAAGUUCUGGGGGUUGCUAUGCAAAUGAAAUUUACCGAAACAAUAAGCAAUUCUUAAUUUAUCAGAUAUUUACAGCUAUUUGCCUGUGGCAUCAAUUUGACACAUCAAGGAUAUCAUAUUAUUGCUUUCGACAUACUCUUGACGGUUUUUACCAUCUGUUGAUAUAGCUCUGCCAGUAGCUCAUACAAGUAUACACAAAGGUUUGUUCAGUGAUGCCAUGUUUCAGAAUCAUCUCCGAUGGAAGGAGUUCGGAAGACUUCAAAUGUGGACGCGGGCUCCCCAUCAGACACUGGUGACAGCACCGUGAUGACGUUGGUAGUAGGUGACGCGUGUCUGGUGACGCACUGGGCGAUGCUGCAGCUGUGUUCCAGCUUGACGCAUUGGAGAGGCAAGCAGCAGCCAGCUGACAACUCCCAGUGUGGAGGGCCCGGUGCUGCACCAGCUGCUGUCGUACAUCUAUACACUCCAGGUGCCCCCCCCCCCUCUCCCCGCCCCCCUCUCCCCCGCCGCCAAGCACAGUUCCCCAGCUAUUGGUUGCUGCCGACAAGUAUGGUGUGUCAGUCCUGAAGGAAGAGUGUGAGUGGCAGUUGGCGAUGGUGAUGCAGCAGCCACAGCUGUUCUAGUGGUUACGCACUCCUCUGUCAGAUCCGCCUCCCGCAUAAAGGCCCGUUUAGUUUGAGAUGGGUAUAAUGCCUAAAUGGCUGCCAUCCAAUCCUCCAACAAGAACCAGGGUCAUCCACAGUGGAACAAGUUCUGCAGACAUCAUCCGUGAACUUGGGUUCUCUGAACGUUGCGAACAGUGCCGUGGUGACACUGGUAGUGGGUGACACACGUUAGACGGUGCCUUGCGCCGUCCUGCAGCAGUGUUCAAGCACGACACACUGGAUGCCAGCAUCAGGUAUCACAGCUGUUGGAUAUUGCCGAUCAGUAUGGGAUGCCCACCCUGAAGGAAGAAUGCGAUACACAGUUGACCGUGGGGACUGUGGCAGCUGCAGCUGUACUAGCAGUUACGCACUCCUGUGUCAGUGUCUGGCAUGACACAGUCUGCUGCAUAAAGGCCCGCUUAGUCCCUGUGUUGGCCUCACAGGGCUCUGUAGAUGUGGUGCGUAACCAGGCUGAACAUUUCAUCAAAAGGAGUCUGCUGCCAUCUGUUCCACCAGCAACAACCAGGAUCAUCCACAGUGGGACAAGUUCAGGAGACAUCAUCCGUCAAUCUGGGUUCCCUGUUGGGAACGGUGCCACGGUGACUCUAGUGGUGGGUGACACACGUCCGACAUUGCCUCGCGCCGUCCUGCGGCUGUGUUCCAGUACGACGCACUGGUGGACGGCUGGGGCCAGGUGACAAUCCCCGAGUUGGGGUACCCGGUACUGCACCAGCUGCUGGCUUACUCCAGGCCUCCCAGCUGCCAAACAGCUUCCCAGUGUUUGGUCAUUGCUGAUAAGUGUGGGUAUCUGCCCUCUACUAGUAGUGUGAGACAGUUGGCUGUGGGGACAGUGGCAGCCACAGCUGUUCUUGCAGUUAUGCACUCCUAUAUCAGUCUCAGGCAGGCAAUCAAUCUCCUGCAUAAAGGCCUACUUAGUCCCUGUGAAGGCUACACAGGGCUGGAUGAAUGUGAAGCUUUACCAGCCACAAUGUUUGAUGGCAGUGAGACUGCUGCCAUUUGAUCCACCAGAAACAACUAGGAUCCUGUCUGGAGAGGAGAAUGGAAGGAAGUUGAUGUAGGCACCUGAAAGGGUGACGGUCGGCAAACUGUGGACGCUGUUUGUAGCGGGUGCAGACGUGAUAGGACAGGUGGACUGCCCUGUGCUACGUAGCGAUGAAGGGAUACGUGAAUGCAGCGAGGUCACCAGUGGAGAGCGGAGCUGAGGUGGAUGCCGGGAUAAGCAGCACACUCUGCACACUGCUGUGAGGAGUGAACACACCGCACUGGUGCAACCGCAGCUGGCAUCCUCUGCUGACACCGAAACCAGGAAUGUGGCGGGGAGAAUGCUGCUCCACUGUGCGGCACUUCGAGAUUGUGUGCAUUGGCUACUGUGUUGGAGGUUGCAGGGACCAACAGAUGGCCAGGAGUGAUUUGAGAGAGACCCCUCUAAGCAUGGCCCAAGAUGAGGACAGAUGGCAGCUGAUGAUUGCAGUACUAUCAUGAAAUGUUCAGUCUGAUAAACUUCUGUGGAAUAAAUGAGAAACAUUUUCUCCAUAUACUUUUACUUUUAAAAUAAACAAUGCAAAACUUC